UUAGCAACCGGACCUCACAGAACUAUGAUAAAACACUAGCGCUCCACCUAAGCCAGCCAGCCCUCAUCUUCCCAUCAACAGCCGUGCUCACCUGCAUUCCAGCGAUCAACGGCGCGACGAAGGACUUCAUCCGUGGGUUUGGCGGCAAGCAUCGGCUAGGCGUCAGGUAAGCGGCCGGGAGCAGGAGGGGAGAGAGGAUACGGACGUGACUGAAAAGUCAAGUUCUACUAGGAGAGAAAACUUUUGUUGACAACAUUAUCAUUAAAAACCUUGUUAAACCUGCACGCUUGGCUCCGGUGUCGUGUCUGACAGUGGGAGAGCUAGGAAGCGACUUCCACAGUCACAAUUUGCGUGGGUGUGCUGGGAAACAAAAGGACAAACCGCAGGAAAAAGAGCCGGAUGAGAA